rnacentral:rRNA from 1 species
AACUACAUCGUGGCCGGCAGCGGCGUUAAGAGUGGGGUUCCGGGCGUGAAUCGGAAGUACGUGGCGGAAGUCGGUGCCAGGUGGUGUGUUAAGCGAGAUGUUAAAGCCCUGGGCUGAACCUAGGAAUAGCAGUGCGAACGGGCGAAUUAGAGUCUUGUAGAGGGGGGUAGAAUUCCAGGUGUAGCGGUGAAAUGCGUAGAGAUCUGGAGGAAUACCGGUGGCGAAGGCGGCCCCCUGGACAAAGACUGACGCUCAUGCACGAAAGCGUGGGGAGCAAACAGGAUUAGAUACCCCGGUAGUC